ACAAAAUGGAAAAGUAAAUAAAGAUAUACUAGAGAUCUUGCAGAGGGAUAUUAUGGACUACAAAGUUGUUCAGCUAUUGCAAUAGUAUCCAGGUGCAGGUGGUAAUUAGGCAAACUAGCUCAAGAUUCCGAAUACAUUAAAACUUUAGUCAGUUUGCUAUUAUUAUUAAGCACUGACAAUUCUAAAUUGUGUCAGAAAUAAAAUAUUCUUCCUCACCCUAAUAUUUUCUUAACUGGGACUCCAAACUAUUGCUGUGCUGCUGAUUUUAAUUAACAAUAUGUAAGUGUUAACUCUGAACACUGCCUUUAAAAGGAAUUUAUUCUAGGGGCUGGGGAUAUGGCCUAGUGGCAAGAGUGCUUGCCUCGU